AACUAAUUAAUUCCGAUAACGAACGAGAUUCUAUCCUGCUAAAUAGUUCGUAUGUAACUUUGUGUGGUGGAUGCGUAGUUGGCCUUGGUCUUCUGCGUGUUGCUGCAUGAGCAUAUGGUACUUCUUAGAGGGAUUGGUGGAUAGCCAAGCCACACGAGAAAGAGCAAUAACAGGUCUGUGAUGCCCUUAGAUGUUCGGGGCCGCACGCGUGCUACACUGACAGUAGUAGAGAGUUUGAUAUCCUAGCGCGAAAGUGCUGGGCAAACUUUUCAAUUACUGUCGUGCCUGGGAUCGGGGUUUGUAACUAUCCCCCGUGAACCAGGAAUUCCUAGUAAGCACAAGUCAUCAGCUUGUGCUGAAUACGUCCCUGCCCUUUGUACACACCGCCCGUCGCUACUACCGAUUGAAUGGUUUAGCAAGGUCAAUGGAUUGACCGCAGUCUUGUGCAAACAGAACUGUGGUUGAGAAGCUGGCCGAACUC
rnacentral:rRNA from 1 species